GGCCCACAGAGGGCCGGCUCCAAGAAACAGAAAGUCCCAUCGACUCCCAUGUUAAAAAGGACUUUAGAGCAGAAUUAAACCUGUUUACAGCAUGGCACAAAAAUUGGUUUUAGUCUCAUUCGCGAGGUUCUUCCUUCAUGACAAAUCUGAGGGGGGUGAAUUUUGUUGUAACUCCCUUGUUUACGCGAUAGAGAGGUUUGAAAUUAACGUGACGCCACAGUCAGUGUGCUGACUGCCGCUCCUAGCCUGCUGCCUGCUCGGCUCUGCCGGAGCUAACAGGCUAACCCCCGGUCAGUUAACACCACCUGAGACCAUUUAAAGGCUUCCACUCACACAUCGGAUGAGUAACACGGUUUGAUGCUCUGCUUGUUCUCCUGAUGGACAAGUUAAAGGCGUCUGCACUCCCGUUUCUGCGGCUGUCCAACAUGAGACACAACUGGAAUCCAACCAGACUGAACCCUGAGUCAUCACUUCAACACUGACUCCAGGGACGGACGAGCCUGAAGGACACAGCUGUGAUGACCAUGUUCUGUCUCUUAUGGCAAAGAAGAAAAAUAAAACACUGUGUUCUUAUCUAAAGUGUAUCAAAUCAUAAAGCAAAAGAUAAACGUUGUUCUAAUAAGUGUGAAUUUUUUUAACAAACCAUAAUGAAUAUAGAAAUUUACUAUUAUCCAUGACACUUAGCAAUGAGCCAGUUCUAAACAGUUGCAGGCCAUCUUUAGUGAAGGAAGGAAAACAUGAAGCUGGUGCUGUCGUCCUCAUGUUGAUCAGCCUGAAGCUGCCGAUCUCCAUCAUGUUGCUUUUUUGUGUUGUGUAUGAAGCUCCACAGAUUUCGGACAGAACCGAUGUACUGCGCUCUGGGUUUGUACCCUCAUGGUUAAAUGCACAUAUUUUAAGUCGCUUUGGAUAAAAGUACUGAAAUAAAUAAAACAUUGUACGAAUAGACAAAAUGUCUUUCUACCUCAUCUGUAAUAUUCAAGGUGAUAAUCUCCCACAGAGCUGGAGAUUAUAAUCAUAUCUAAACUAUCUAAUUCACUUGAAAAUUCCAUAACAGGCUAAA